rnacentral:tRNA from 1 species
UGGGGUACAGCUCAGUGGUAGAGCGCCUGCCUCGCAUCCACAAGGUCCUGGGUUCAAUUCCCAGGACCUCCA